rnacentral:rRNA from 1 species
CACGUAGGGCGCAAGCGUUGUCCGGAAUUAUUGGGCGUAAAGAGCUCGUAGGCGGUCUGUUGCGUCCGCUGUGAAAACUCGGGGCUUAACCCCGAGCCUGCAGUGGAUACGGGCAGACUAGAGGUAGGUAGGGGAGAAUGGAAUUCCCGGUGUAGCGGUGAAAUGCGCAGAUAUCGGGAGGAACACCGGUGGCGAAGGCGGGUCUCUGGGCAGCAACUGACGCUGAGGAGCGAAAGCGUGGGGAGCGAACAGG